rnacentral:rRNA from 1 species
CCUACGGGGGGCUGCAGUGGGGAAUAUUGGUCAAUGGGCGCAAGCCUGACCCAGCAACGCCGCGUGAAGGAAGAAGGCUUUCGGGUUGGAAACUUCUUUUGUCAGGGAAGAGUAGAAGACGGUACCUGACGAAUAAGCCACGGCUAACUACGUACCAGCGGCCGCGGGAAUACGUAGGGGGCAAGCGUUGUCCGGGUUUACUGGGUGUAAAGGGUGUGUAGCCGGGCUGACAAGUUAGAUGUGAAAUCCUGCGGCUUAACCGCAGAACUGCAUUUGAUACUGUUGAUCUUGAGUGCUGGAGAGGCAGGCGGAAUGCAUGGUGUAGCGGUGAAAUGCGUAGAGAUUAGGAGGAACACCAGUGGCGAAGGCGGUCUGCUGGACAGCAACUGACGGUGAGGCGCGAAAGCGUGGGGAGCAAACAGGAUUAGAUACCCGAGUAGUC